UACGUAGGGGGCAAGCGUUGUCCGGAUUUAUUGGGCGUAAAGAGCGUGUAGGCGGCCAGGUAGGUCCGUUGUGAAAACUCGAGGCUCAACCUCGAGACGUCGGCGGAAACCCUCUGGCUAGAGUCCGGAAGAGGAGAGUGGAAUUCCUGGUGUAGCGGUGAAAUGCGCAGAUAUCAGGAGGAACACCGGUGGCGAAGGCGGCUACCUGGACAGAGUCUGACGCUGAGGCACGAAAGCUAGGGGAGCAAACAGG
rnacentral:rRNA from 1 species